GAAAGAGAAGAAGGAGUGGGAGGAGUGGAGAAUGAAAUGGCAAGACACAAGUGGUGUGACCUUUCCCAGUGACCCCACAAACCUUCACUGAUGUCUAUGAAAAUCACAAAAUGAUUUGUGAUGGUGCAGUUGGACCUCUUGUCAAAAGCCAGUGAAGGGGCUGAAUGGAUGCAAGAGGUGGAGCCCGUGCCAAACUCUGGAAAUUAACAUUGCCGUGUAUUCUCAGCAAGCUUUGUCCCCGCCUUCUGCAAAAGCUGUCUUGCUGGUCAGCAGUGACAUCCAUGCUGCUAAAGCCAGUGGAAAUGCUGGGCCUCAUCUUCCUAGAAGCUGCACUUGACCAUGGCCUCCCCAGGCUCUCGUGCCCGCGUUCAGCCCUCACCACCUACCUCUGUGUCCUGAUCAGCUCCCAGGCCAGUACCUCAUCAUCGUGAGUCUGUUCUACAUGAGAGUCCCGCACCGUCUGAAUGCGCUGUGUCUGGCCUGGAUGCUGCACCCUGAUUCCUCAGGGUAACAGUCAUUCACCUUUGGCUGCUCAGCCUCCAAGCCACACGCCAUGGUCAGCCUCGGCCACUAUCACAGCUGGUCCUGGAGGCUGCAGGGCUCCCUCUCUUGGACCCAGUACUCCCACUACUCCCUCCCCAACUGAUAUGGUUUGGCUGUGUCUCCAUCCAAGUCUCAUCUUAAAUUGUAGUUCCCAAAAAUUGCACGUGUUGUGGGAGGGAGUUGUGGGAGAUAAUUUAAUCCUGGGGGGCGGUUUUCCCCAUACUGUUCUCGUGUUAGUGAAUAAGUCUCACCAGAUGUGGUGAUUUCAUAAGUGGUCUCCCCUUUUGCUUGGUUUUCAUUCUCUCUCGUCUGCGCCAUGUAAGAUGUGCCUUUGGCUUUCCACCAUGAUUUUGAGGCCUCCCCAGCCACGUGGAGCUGUGAGUUAAUUAAAUCUCUUUUUUUUAAAUAAAUU
rnacentral:lncRNA from 1 species